GACAGAGGGUGCAAACGUUGUUCGGAAUUACUGGGCGUAAAGCGCGUGUGGGCAGCUCGGAAAGUCGGGUGUGAAAGCCCUGGGCUUAACCUAGGAAGUGCACUCGAAACUUCCGAGCUUGAGUUCUGGAGAGGAAGGCGGAAUUCUCGGUGUAGAGGUGAAAUUCGUAGAUAUCGAGAGGAACACCGGUGGCGAAGGCGGCCUUCUGGACAGUGACUGACGCUGAGACGCGAAAGCGUGGGGAGCAAACAGG
rnacentral:rRNA from 1 species